rnacentral:rRNA from 1 species
GAUGAACGCUGGCGGCGUGCCUAAUACAUGCAAGUCGAGCGAACGGACGAGAAGCUUGCUUUUCUGAUGUUAGCGGCGGACGGGUGAGUAACACGUGGAUAACCUACCUAUAAGACUGGGAUAACUUCGGGAAACCGGAGCUAAUACCGGAUAAUAUUUUGAACCGCAUGGUUCAUAAGUGAAAGACGGUCUUGCUGUCACUUAUAGAUGGAUCCGCGCUGCAUUAGCUAGUUGGUAAGGUAACGGCUUACCAAGGCAACGAUGCAUAGCCGACCUGAGAGGGUGAUCGGCCACACUGGAACUGAGACACGGUCCAGACUCCUACGGGAGGCAGCAGUAGGGAAUCUUCCGCAAUGGGCGAAAGCCUGACGGAGCAACGCCGCGUGAGUGAUGAAGGUCUUCGGAUCGUAAAACUCUGUUAUUAGGGAAGAACAUAUGUGUAAGUAACUGUGCACAUCUUGACGGUACCUAAUCAGAGAGCCACGGCUAACUACGUG